AGCGAGGAUUUACGAGUUUUGGCC
rnacentral:snRNA from 1 species